AUCCGAGUUAACGUGAGCUGUUAUAUGGCUUUAGCGUCUUUGCAGAGAUAUUGACCGACUGUAGCGGUAACAACAGACGCAUCGAAUGUCCUAGCCUGCUGCAUUGAGACGCAGAAUAUAUCUUCAUUUCUCCGUUUAUGCUCUCAACAUUUUCACAAAGCCAAGCUGCAUAUGAGAUGGAGACUGACCCAGACUGAGCACCAUCUCUACAUCUGGGCCACACAGA
rnacentral:lncRNA from 1 species